GCCGGGCAUGGUGGUGCAUGCCUGUAAUCCCAGCAACUCUGGAGGCUGAGGCAGGAGUUUCAUGAGUUCAAAACCAGCCUGAGCAAAAGCAAGGUGCUAAGCAACUCAGUGAGACCCUGUCUCUA
rnacentral:sRNA from 1 species